rnacentral:rRNA from 1 species
CGCUGGCGGCGUGCUUAACACAUGCAAGUCGAACGGUAAGGCCCUUCGGGGUACACGAGUGGCGAACGGGUGAGUAACACGUGGGUGAUCUGCCCUGCACUUCGGGAUAAGCCUGGGAAACUGGGUCUAAUACCGGAUAGGACUCCUGGCUUCAUGGUUGGGGGUGUAAAGCUUUUGCGGUGUGGGAUGGGCCCGCGGCCUAUCAGCUUGUUGGUGGGGUAAUGGCUUACCAAGGCGACGACGGGUAGCCGGCCUGAGAGGGUGACCGGCCACACUGGGACUGAGAUACGGCCCAGACUCCUACGGGAGGCAGCAGUGGGGAAUAUUGCACAAUGGGCGCAAGCCUGAUGCAGCGACGCCGCGUGAGGGAUGACGGCCUUCGGGUUGUAAACCUCUUUCAAUAGGGACGAAGCGCAAGUGACGGUACCUAUAGAAGAAGGACCGGCCAACUACGUG